GGUUUCGUGGUCUAGUUGGUCAUGAUUUCUCGUUAACACCGAGAAGGUCCCCGGUUCGAGCCCGGGCGAAACCA